rnacentral:rRNA from 1 species
AAAACGACUCUCGGCAACGGAUAUCUCGGCUCUCGCAUCGAUGAAGAACGUAGCGAAAUGCGAUACUUGGUGUGAAUUGCAGAAUCCCGUGAACCAUCGAGUCUUUGAACGCAAGUUGCGCCCCAAGCCAUUAGGCCGAGGGUACGUCUGCCUGGGUGUCACGC